rnacentral:rRNA from 1 species
GGAUUGAACGCUGGCGGCAUGCUUUACACGUGCAAGUCGUGCGGCAGCGCGGGGGCAACCCUGGCGGCGAGCGGCGAACGGGUGAGGAAUACAUCGGAACGUACCCCGGAGUGGGGGAUAACCCAGCGAAAGUUGGACUAAUACCGCAUAUGCUCUGAGGAGGAAAGCAGGGGACUUCGCAAGAGGCCUUGCGCUCUGGGAGCGGCCGAUGUCCGAUUAGCUAGUUGGUGGGGUAAUGGCUCACCAAGGCGACGAUCGGUAGCUGGUCUGAGAGGAUGAUCAGCCACACUGGGACUGAGACACGGCCCAGACUCUACGGGAGGCAGCAGUGGGGAAUUUGGACAAUGGGGCAACCUGAUCCAGCCAUGCCGCGUGCGGAAGAAGG